CACGUAGGGUGCAAGCGUUAAUCGGAAUUACUGGGCGUAAAGCGUGCGCAGGCGGUUUUGUAAGUCUGUCGUGAAAUCCCCGGGCUUAACCUGGGAAUGGCGAUGGAGACUGCAAGGCUAGAGUUUGGCAGAGGGGGGUAGAAUUCCACGUGUAGCAGUGAAAUGCGUAGAGAUGUGGAGGAACACCGAUGGCGAAGGCAGCCCCCUGGGUCAAAACUGACGCUCAUGCACGAAAGCGUGGGGAGCAAACAGG
rnacentral:rRNA from 1 species